rnacentral:rRNA from 1 species
AGUGAACGCUGGCGGUGGGCCUAACACAUGCAAGUCGAACGGCAGCACAGUAAGAGCUUGCUCUUACGGGUGGCGAGUGGCGGACGGGUGAGGAAUACAUCGGAAUCUACUUUUUCGUGGGGGAUAACGUAGGGAAACUUACGCUAAUACCGCAUACGACCUACGGGUGAAAGCAGGGGAUCUUCGGACCUUGCGCGAUUGAAUGAGCCGAUGUCGGAUUAGCUAGUUGGCGGGGUAAAGGCCCACCAAGGCGACGAUCCGUAGCUGGUCUGAGAGGAUGAUCAGCCACACUGGAACUGAGACACGGUCCAGACUCCUACGGGAGGCAGCAGUGGGGAAUAUUGGACAAUGGGCGCAAGCCUGAUCCAGCCAUACCGCGUGGGUGAAGAAGGCCUUCGGGUUGUAAAGCCCUUUUGUUGGGAAAGAAAAGCAGCAGGUUAACACCCCGCUGUUCUGACGGUACCCAAAGAAUAAGCACCGGCUAACUUCGUG